AAAAAUGUAGAUUUUCACUGCUACAGGUUUGUAACCACUGCCGAAAAGUUAAACCGAGGAGUUACCGUAAUCGUAGUAAUUGCAGUAGAGCCCAAAUCAAAACAGCAGCGGCUUGAGAUCUCUUAUCCAAUCGUCAUAUCUUCGACGCUUUGACAAUCCGCACAGCUUGCUUCACCCAUUAUAUCCAUGGCUCUUUGACCUUCAAACUUUUCCCUGAAAAAACAGCAAAUUACAACAGCAACACAUUUCCAAAAGUUAAAUGUUUUUGACAGGACGAUUGAGAGGUAGUGCGGAAUGGGU
rnacentral:lncRNA from 1 species